ACGGGAUGGCAAAGUCCACAUAGUGCAGAGGAGAAUUGUUACAGAGCAAUGCUAGAUGAAGGAGCUGAGGCUGGAGAAGUUAAGAGACCCCUGCUAGAUAGGAAGGCACGUGAGAAGUAUACUGCUCUGUCUCCUGUGGAGUAAAAAGACUUUGGCGUUCUCAGAAGAAAACCAAAUGAGAUCACACGAAUGAGACUGCUGGAGCAAUCUAAUGCAAAUAUCUACUACAGAUUAUCAAAAGGAAAAAAAAAGGAGGGGAUAGGGAAGCUUAAGGGAGGAGUGCUGUGAAGAAUGUUGUCAUUUCUUCUGGACUGCUACUAAGUAAAAGUUAUCUUCUCACCUCACUCACCAAUUCCUGCCUUAGUACCACAGCAAUUAUCUUUGCCUAAACACAUUAACGGGGAAAAAUGUUCAGGCUUUUGGAGAAGAGCUACAAGUGGUGGACGGUGGCCACAGUGAAGAGUGGGGUAACUUAGACUAAACACUAUAGGAGCCAUCAGAAGAAAUUUUUCCAAACUGCAGCUUAUUACAUGGGUCACACAAGGACAGUUUGCAGCAUAAGGACAGCUAGCUGCUUAUACAAGAACAUGUGCCUGACACAGUCUCACAAGCCCAGUCCAAAACUACAAGGGCCUAACUGUAACUCCAGGAUUACAAGUCCUACCUAAUAACUAUUGACACUCGCCAGUCAGAACUCACCAGCUCUUUUGUUGCUGCCAGCACCAAUAAGCUUUCUUCCAAAACCAACGCAUAGCCUCCGCCUUUCCCAAUAAACUCUAACCUUUUCCUU
rnacentral:lncRNA from 1 species